rnacentral:ncRNA from 27 species
AAAAAAUGAAAGAGAUUUAGUAAUUUUAUUAUUUGGCUUUGAUCAUGGGAAUGCUGUGUAAAUCAGCCACUGUGCCGCAACGGUAAUAGUCCGAGACCAUUCAAAGCCAAUCCGCCAGCC